rnacentral:tRNA from 1 species
UGGGCUAUUGCCAAGUGGUAAGGCACAGGAUUUUGAUUCCUGCAUUUGCCGGUUCGAGUCCGGCUAACCCAG